rnacentral:rRNA from 1 species
GACGAACGCUGGCGGCGUGCUUAACACAUGCAAGUCGAACGAUGAAGCCGGAGCUUGCUCUGGUGAAUUAGUGGCGAACGGGAGAGUAACACGUGAGUAACCUGCCCUUGACUCUGGGAUAACUGCUAGAAAUGGUAGCUAAUACCGGAUACGACCCUCGGAGGCAUCCCCAGGGGGUGGAAAGAAUUUCGGUCAAGGAUGGACUCGCGGCCUAUCAGCUAGUUGGUGAGGUAAUUGCUCCACAAGGCGACGACGGGUAGCCGGCCUGAGAGGGUCACCGGCCACCGUGGGACUGAGCCACGACCCAGACGCGUACGGGAGGCAGCAGUGUGGAAUAUUGCACAAUGGGCGCAAGCCUGAUGCAGCAACGCCGCGUGAGGGAUGACGGCCUUCGGGUUGUAAACCUCUUUUAGUAGGGAAGAUGCGAAAGUGACGGUACCUGCAGAAAAAGCACCGGCUAACUACGUGCCAGCAGCCGCCGUAA